AAAACCUUCUUCUUUACAAUCCAGAAUAACGAUUGUCAAUAGUAAAUAUUAUGAAAACAAUAACUGUUGUAUUUUUUCAUCAUUAUAUAGUUUAUGUAUUAUAAUUGUAAAAACAAAAACAAAUUUAGCAACUCACAUAGUAAUCAUUCAACACUGCUUAAAAAUGUAAGUUGAAAAUUAAACUCAUGAUUAAGCAUGAAAUAAGAUACAGAAUCAGUAAAUUCGAUUUUAAUGUGGGUAUAUUAUCAGUAAACUAAUCAUUAAAUAUUUAUAAUCAAUCAAAAAAUAUUGCCCCCUUUCAUAAUGUUGUUCAAAAAUGAAGGGCACAAUGCUAAUGUUGUCCACUCGAUGGCGCCACAGGACAGCAAAUACUUCAAGAUCUGUUCAAAGACUUGAAAAAUGUUUCAUUUAUGUAAAUAAAUCAAAAAAAUGCAUAUACAUUCAUUCUUUUUUUCAUAAACUUUAAUGAAAGCCCAAUAUAGUAAUUAUGCAAAAACUAUCAUCUCCGAAAUACCAUUACGUUUUUUUAUCUUAUUUUAAUAGUCUUGACAACAUAUUUCUCAAGUUAUCACGCAUUACUGAAAAAGUGAAGAAGGGACACUAUAUUUGUUAUCUAUUUUCAUGUUGUGCGUAUAAUAAUUUACUUGAAAAGAGACACGUUCAUUGUGUAACUGCAUCAUCUACACAAACCAUUGUUUUUAUCUUAUUUUAAUAGUAUUGACAACAUAUUUCUCAAGUUAUCACGCAUUACUGAAAAAGUGAAGAAGGGACACUAUAUUUGUUAUCUAUUUUCAUGUUGUGCGUAUAAUUAUUUACUUGAAAAGAGACACGUCCAUUGUUUAACUGCAUCAUCUACACAAACCAUUGUGCUUGGACCCCUUAUGAUCACCUGGACUUAAACCACAUUGUUUCAGUUACCUUCUGUGUCUUUGGCCACAACGCUUCAGUGACAGGAAUGUGAAAUAGCAAACAGGGGAACAAAUAAAAGGCAUGACUUUAUUUGCAUCCAGCUAGCCAACUCUAUUACAGGUGUUCCACAGCCAAGACUCUUAUUAGAAUAGAAAAUAGCAAGGGUUCGAAUAAAUAGUUUAUUAAUCAUUUAAUUUCACUUUCUUAAUGAAUAUUGUUCUGUGUAUGUGAUUUCAAAGUCUUGAUGCUUCGGAUUAACCCGUUAAUUGCCGUAUCCCUUAAAACCUGAGUGCCAGAGGAUUACUGUAAAUGCAUGUGCCCGCUGGGCACAGUUUACCUGAUGCCACCGGGGUGGCGUUUGCGCUGAUGGCUUGAGCCCGCCAUCGCUGCUUGCAGCUAUAUUUCCUUUAGUUUUUCUAUCAAGAGUUUAUCAUAGCAAUGACAAACCAAACUGUGUUGCUUGGCCAAAGUAGUCUUAAUACUAAACCCUUUCCUGUCUGGUUUAUGUUAUUUUUAGAAUAACAAUACUAUGCAACAAAAUAUGACUUAGGAAUGGAAUUAUACAUUUGCUUUAUGAUGCAUUUUUUUUCUUGUUUAUUUGUUUGUUUUUAAUUUCAUUAUAGUUUUUUAAGGCAUUAAAGAUUUGUAUUUAUUUAUGUAUUUAUUUUUAAAUUUAAGUUGCUGUACAUAUUUUUAAUACAUAGUGCCAGUCACAGGAUAAAACAGAUGUCAUCCCUCUUAAAAAUAAAGUCUGCUUAACAAUAAGCAUUUAUAAGAUCUCUUUAUCAGAUCUCUAUAAGAUCUUUAUUGUACUGGCUUUCUUGAAGAAUGUGAUUACUUUAUUGUGAUUAACUGACUGCAGGUAUCAUGAAAAAAAAUAAAGUGUGUUAAUUGGUGUUUUUUUUUUCUCUUUGACUAAAGGAAAACAUUUUUCAGUUCAAUUCAGUUCCACUCAAUUCAAAUUUAAUUGUAUAGUGUUUUUCACAAUACAUAUGGUUUCGAAGCAGCACAGAAAAUGCACAGUUAUGGCACAACUUAUGCACUUCUCUAUGUCAUUUAAAUCUACAACCCAAUUGUCCAAAAAAUGAAUGAAUAAAGAAUGUUAAACAUCAACAUUUAAAAAGUCAUUCUAAUAGGAUUCCUCACAAAUAAUUUUAUUACAUAUUAAAGAUAAACACAAGAAACAAUUAUUUCAAGAGGAAGGGAUGAUCAGAGCUAAGCCCUCUGUUCGUAGUAAGCAGGGGGAAAUAUAGUACGUUUCUGUCAUCUGUAAAAUUUUGCUCUCAAAUAUGUGGCUUUGCAUUUCCAUUCACAGCCAGUGGAUAUGUUUGCAUUGCAUCUCUCAUUUUCCUAAUUACUGCAGAUCAAUUGGGACGAGUGCAUGUUGUUGAACUGCAGUAGAACUAUAAUCAAAUUAUACGGUCAUGUCUAAGACACAGGCAAAUAACUUUCCAUCUAAAAUUAUUC
ensembl:lncRNA